GACGAACGCUGGCGGCGUGCUUAACACAUGCAAGUCGAACGGAAAGGCCCUGCUUUUGUGGGGUGCUCGAGUGGCGAACGGGUGAGUAACACGUGAGUAACCUGCCCUUGACUUUGGGAUAACUUCAGGAAACUGGGGCUAAUACCGGAUAGGAGCUCCUGCUGCAUGGUGGGGGUUGGAAAGUUUCGGCGGUUGGGGAUGGACUCGCGGCUUAUCAGCUUGUUGGUGGGGUAGUGGCUUACCAAGGCUUUGACGGGUAGCCGGCCUGAGAGGGUGACCGGCCACAUGGGGACUGAGAUACGGCCCAGACUCCUACGGGAGGCAGCAGUGGGGAAUAUUGCACAAUGGGCGGAGGCCUGAUGCAGCAACGCCGCGUGCGGGAUGACGGCCUUCGGGUUGUAAACCGCUUUCGCCUGUGACGAAGCGUGAGGGACGGUAAUGGGUAAAGAAGCACCGGCUAACUACGU
rnacentral:rRNA from 1 species